GAUGAACGCUGGCGGCGUGCCUAAUACAUGCAAGUCGAGCGAACGGACGAGAAGCUUGCUUCUCUGAUGUUAGCGGCGGACGGGUGAGUAACACGUGGAUAACCUACCUAUAAGACUGGGAUAACUUCGGGAAACCGGAGCUAAUACCGGAUAAUAUUUUGAACCGCAUGGUUCAAAAGUGAAAGACGGUCUUGCUGUCACUUAUAGAUGGAUCCGCGCUGCAUUAGCUAGUUGGUAAGGUAACGGCUUACCAAGGCAACGAUGCAUAGCCGACCUGAGAGGGUGAUCGGCCACACUGGAAGUGAGACACGGUCCAGACUCCUACGGGAGGCAGCAGUAGGGAAUCGUCCGCAGUGGGCGAAAGCCUGACGGAGCAACGCCGCGUGAGUGAUGAAGGUCUUCGGAUCGUAAAACUCUGUUAUUAGGGAAGAACAUAUGUGUAAGUAACUGUGCACAUCUUGACGGUACCUAAUCAGAAAGCCACGGCUAACUACGUG
rnacentral:rRNA from 1 species